rnacentral:rRNA from 1 species
CGUAGGGAGCAAGCGUUGUUCGGAUUUACUGGGCGUAAAGGGCGCGUAGGCGGCAAAUCAAGUCAGCUGUGAAAUCUCCGAGCUUAACUCGGAACGGUCAGCUGAUACUGCUUUGCUAGAGUGCGGAAGGGGCAAUCGGAAUUCUUGGUGUAGCGGUGAAAUGCGUAGAUAUCAAGAGGAACACCUGAGGUGAAGACGGGUUGCUGGGCCGACACUGACGCUGAGGCGCGAAAGCCAGGGGGAGCAAACGGGAUUAGAUACCCCGGUAGUCCUGGCCUUAAACGAUGAAUACUUGGUGUCUGGAGUCUCUAUAGCUCCGGGUGCCGUCGCUAACGUUUUAGUAUUCCGCCUGGGGAGUACGCACGCAAGUGUG